rnacentral:rRNA from 1 species
AGUGAACGCUGGCGGCAGGCCUAACACAUGCAAGUCGAGCGGCAGCGCGGGGGCAACCCUGGCGGCGAGCGGCGGACGGGUGAGGAAUUCGUCGGAAUCUGCCUUUUUGUGGGGGAUAACGUAGGGAAACUUACGCUAAUACCGCAUACGUCCUACGGGAGAAAGUGGGGGACCGCAAGGCCUCACGCAGAAAGAUGAGCCGACGACCGAUUAGCUAGUUGGUGGGGUAAAGGCCCACCAAGGCGACGAUCGGUAGCUGGUCUGAGAGGAUGAUCAGCCACACUGGGACUGAGACACGGCCCAGACUCCUACGGGAGGCAGAAGUGGGGAAUAUUGGACAAUGGGCGCAAGCCUGCUCCAGCCAUGCCGCGUGUGUGAAGAAGGCCUUCGGGUUGUAAAGCACUUUUGUCCGGAAAGACAUCCCUGGAGCUAAUACCUUCGGGGGAUGACGGUACCGGAAGAAUAAGCACCGGCUAACUUCGUG